GUCACGAAAGUUUACCGCCCGAAUCUUUCAUUUCCGUUAGUUCCUAACCUAUAUCAAUGGAUUCAUUAUCGUGCACUUAGAAUUAUUAUUUAUUAGAAAAAAAUAUUUAUAUGUAUAUUUGUGUGUGUGUGUGUGUGUAUAUAAGAGAAGACAACAAGAUAUAUUUGCAAUAAAUUUCUUAUCGUCUUUAAGGUUUUUAUAGAUUUUCAAAAUGCCGACCAUAGCCGUCAAACGAGAUUUAUUAUUUAAAGCGCUUGGAAAAACAUAUUCCGAAGAAGAAUUUCAAAAUGUAUGCUUCGAGUUUGGUUUGGAAUUAGAUGAUGUGACUACAGAAAAACAAAUGAUAGCGAAGGAACAAGGUUCUGAGCAAAGUAUUGGUGCAUCGGAAGAAAUUAUUUAUAAAAUUGAUAUUCCAGCUAACAGAUAUGAUUUAUUAUCCUUAGAAGGUCUUGUAACAGGAUUACUAGUAUUCUUAAAUAAGAGUCAUGUACCACGCUACAAAUCAAUAAAACCAACAGCACCGGAAGAAAUUGUAAUGAAAAAAGAAUGUUUACAAGUGAGAGAACAUUUAGUCGCUGCCAUUUUACGUGGCAUUACUUUUACACAAGAUUCUUAUAACAGUUUCAUUGAUCUUCAAGACAAAUUACAUCAAACUAUAGGAAGAAAACGAAGUAUUGUAUCGAUUGGUACACAUGAUUUAGAUACUAUUAAAGGACCAUUUAUAUAUGAUGCGAAACCACCAAAUUCUAUUCGCUUUAAACCACUUAAUCAAACGAAAGAAUAUACAGGGACGGAAAUAAUGGAGUUGUAUGCGCAUCAUGUGCAACUAAAACAGUAUUUACCAAUUAUAAAAGACAGUCCUGUAUAUCCUAUAAUAUAUGAUAGUAAUGGUGUUGUAUUAUCAUUGCCACCCAUAAUUAAUGGAGAUCAUUCGAAAAUCACUCUUAAUACUAAAAAUGUAUUUAUUGAAUGCACUGCAACUGACCUUAAUAAGGCAAAGAUUACAGUAGAUACUAUAGUUUGCGCUUUCAGUAUAUACUGCGCAAAGAAGUAUACAGUGGAAAGUGUAAAAGUAGUUUAUCCAGAUAAUAAAAUAUAUUAUCAUCCAGAGAUGAGCUAUCGUACAGAAGAAAUAAAUAGCGAAAAAGCAAUAAAUUAUAUUGGAAUCAAAAAAUCUCCAGAAGAGAUAGCAAAAUUACUUUCAAAAAUGUCGUUAGAAGCAAUGGUAAAAGAAAACGAUAAUAUUGUUAUCAAUAUACCUCCAACGAGAAGAGAUGUUUUACAUCCGUGCGAUAUUUACGAAGAUAUAGCCAUUGCUUAUGGAUAUAAUAACAUAGAAAAAACAUUUCCACAAUUAAAUACUAUUGCUGUAGAAUUCCCACUCAAUAAAUUAUCGGAUCAAUUGCGUGAAGAAUUAGCACGUGCAAGUUUCACUGAAACGUUAACAUUUUCAUUGUGUUCAAGGGAUGAUAUUUCAGAAAAAUUGGGUUAUAAAAUAGAGAAUGUACCAGCCGUUCAUGUAACUAAUCCAAAAACCUUAGAGUUUCAGGUUGCACGUACAACUUUAUUACCAGGAUUAUUGAAAACUAUAGCCGGAAAUAAAAAGAUGCCAUUACCUUUAAAAUUAUUUGAAAUUUCUGAUGUUGUUUUACUCGAUACUACAGCAGAUGUUGAUGCACGUAACAAAAGAUAUUUGUGUGCAGUGUAUUAUAAUAAAAUUGGAGGUUUUGAGAUAAUCCAUGGUUUACUGGAUAGAAUUAUGCAAGUACUAGAAGUACCGCAAAGCACAGAUAAAAAAGAUACUGGAUAUUAUUUGCGUGCAGCAGAUGAUCCAACUUUUUUUCCACAAAGAUAUGGAGAAGUAAUAUAUAACAACAAAGUUAUCGGCAAAAUAGGAAUUUUACAUCCAGAUGUACUUACUAAAUUUGAGUUAAAUUUACCAUGCUCUGCAUUGGAGAUUGACAUUGAACCAUUUCUAUGAAAUGUUAAAUAAUGCCUGUACUUAUAAACAGUACAUAUACAACAAAUAAAACGAAACAAAAAUGACAAAGUAAUUUACAUACUUGAUACUAAUCAAUACUGUUUUGUACUUUCACUGUGAUCUGCAAUUAACUCCAACAAUAAAAUGCGUUUUCAAACACUUUAAACUAAUGCGACUGUCUCCAUACAAACAAACAUAACCUUGAAAAAAUAAAUCCAUCAUUCAAGAUAAAUCACUCAAAGAAAUUAUUGAAGGAAAUGAAGUUCGCAAAACAGCUGAAGAAAUGGAUG
rnacentral:misc_RNA from 1 species